GUUCAGUGGUAGAAUUCUCACUUUCCGUGUGGGAGACCUGGGUUCAAUUCCCAG
rnacentral:tRNA from 1 species